AACGCGAAGAACCUUACCUGGUCUUGACAUCCACGGAAGUUUUCAGAGAUGAGAAUGUGCCUUCGGGAACCGUGAGACAGGUACUGCAUGGCUGUCGUCAGCUCGUGUUGUGAAAUGUUGGGUUAAGUCCCGCAACGAGCGCAACCCUUAUCCUUUGUUGCCAGCGGUCCGGCCGGGAACUCAAAGGAGACUGCCAGUGAUAAACUGGAGGAAGGUGGGGAUGACGUCAAGUCAUCAUGGCCCUUACGACCAGGGCUACACACGUGCUACAAUGGCGCAUACAAAGAGAAGCGACCUCGCGAGAGCAAGCGGACCUCAUAAAGUGCGUCGUAGUCCGGAUUGGAGUCUGCAACUCGACUCCAUGAAGUCGGAAUCGCUAGUAAUCGUGGAUCAGAAUGCCACGGUGAAUACGUUCCCGGGCCUUGUACACACCG
rnacentral:rRNA from 1 species